CUUUAUUCUAUAUUCCCCAGAGUGAAGUGCUGUGAUUGGUUUGCAGUCUACUAAGAUCAGCCCUUUUAUAUCUACAUGAAAGUGAAUCUGUGUAAGAGAAAACAUUAUCUGCUGCAUGUUAUCAUAACUCCAGCAAUGAAGCAGAUCCUGAAACAUUUAUUUACAUGGACAUCCUGGAGAGCUUCUUCUAGGGUUCUGUCCAGCGUAUCUCUGCAGUGCCAAAUGACCCAGGAGUCCUGGCAAAGACAGUCUUCAGGCUUUGGCAAUGGAGGGUUGGCCUACGUUUUCUCAACUGCCCAAAUAUUUUGACUUUCAAUCUCAGCAGGCAUCUCCUUCUCUUCCAUAGCAACAGUACAUUUGGGGGAUUAUUGUGUUUUUUUUCCCUUCUACCUCCUGUGGGAGAAUAACACUAAUUCUAAGCUGGGAUAAAUGGCUAGAAUUCAGUAUGGCUCUGUUAGACUCUAUUUCUAGAGUAGAGUUAGACACAAUACUCAAAGACAGGCCUUCUUUUGGAGUCCUAGGGAAAAACAUAACCAAAUUAAAUAAAAUGUCAAUUUCUGGCUUGUAUUUUCUUUUCCAGUUGUGAUGUAUGUUAAAAUGAUAUUUUCCCUUUAAGAAAUGAAC
rnacentral:lncRNA from 1 species